ACCACAUAGUAAUUCAGACCUUGAAAAUAACUAUUCUCUAAGGUUUCAAGUUCUCUUCACUUCACACCUAAUUUCUCAGUGAAUACAUCCAUAUUUUGAGUUAUUGGACUCAGGAAAUCAAAUUAUUACUAGUCUGGUGAUUAAAUUGCUCUAUCCAUCUGCUAGUAUAUUGUCAUUAUUCUUUGAGCUUUGCUUGAUGAUAACAAAAAUUAUAAGUCACUUGUAUUAAAUCCAGGCAAUGAUUGUAUAAAAUCUUGUAGGAAAAAAAUGAAUGCUUGAACUUGUUUUUUUUCCUGUCUUAAAAGCAAAACAAAAUAUGAAAUGCAAUAUAAUCAAGUUUAAUAUUGGAGUAUAUUUUCAGAAAUGGUGUUGUCCAAAGAUGUCUCCACACAGCUGGACUUUUUCUUGGAUGCUCUUUUGGUUGACAUUGAAUCCACAGAGAUUUCUGGCUUCAUGGAUGGCCAAACACUGAAAACUUCCAGACACACUUGAAUAAGAAGAGAAGGGGCCUGUAUUGCAAGGCUAUUACAGAGGCAGCUAAAACUGCCAAGCAACUGACCUCUGAAGUAAAGGCUCUGUUGACUGUUUGAAACAUAAACACAGUAAGCUUUGCAUCUUGAUUGAAGCAAAGACAUCUGUCUUUUCCCAGAUAGCAAGAACUUUGGUUGCUGUGGCAACAUAUUGACUGGGGAAUUUAAAAAUAAAGGUGGCUCAUUUCCAAAUCAUUUUUUCCCCCUUCACGAAAAAGCCACACACUGGUAAUAAAUGUAGGAGGUGUACAGAAAUCAGAAAAUAUUCUACUCAUCAAGAAUGUGGCAAGUUGCAACUACAAAAUGAAAAUAGAAACAGAAUAGAAAUAUCAAGAUAAGGGACAACUAAGAGACUAAGGAAAUAUGACAGGGAUAAACUCCCCUUUACUGCACGGACUGCAUAGUCACUCACAUGGAGGCUACUUGUGAAGCCAGAUAACACACACAGAAAUGCUGAAUUUCUUGGAGUCUGGCAGCAAACAACGAGUUUGCCAGUUCUGAGGUCCUAAUCCAUGGGGAGAAAGGAGACAAUCAGCAGCACCUCAGAGAAGUUCGGAGAUGAGGGUUAAUGGACUGACUGGUGAUGGAAAAGAUAGCUCAGAGAUAUUUCAAGCAGGCUGCAAGAAUCUCCCAACUUCGUCCAUCACAAAUCCAUCAUUGAUCCUGGAUGCAGGCUUCAGCUGGCAAAGGAAAGGAAAUACAGAGUUCAAAGCAAGAAUGCAUGCUUUGCAGAGCUGAGGAAAACAGAAUUACAGUCACACCAAGCAAGGGCCAAGAUGUGGUCAAAACUUUGAGUCAGCACAGCCUGGAGUUGUCUAUCUCCAGUUGAAUUGUUAUGUAUGGGAUGCAUUUUCAAAAGGAUAAAGUUGAAGACAUGGUCUAUUUACAAACUAUGAAAUUAACCUGGAGUUAUAUAAACAUGCCAAAAGAGGAAAGAGAUUUACACUGGAGCUGUAGUGAGACAUUCAGGUUUGGAAGCAGAAACAGAAUUAAUGCAGAGAGAAGAUGCCAUUGAUAGAGCAGUCCACAUCAGGAAAUCUCUGCUCUUGACAGCAAGAAAAGUUCUCUAAGUAAGUAAAGACACUUAUCCUAUGUGAUCCAUUUUCUUUGUGUUUUCCACGUGUCCUGGUUCUGUAGUUUUGGGUUCCUAUGAGACCCGGUCCCAUUUUGGCACUUACUGUUUUCCUCCUAUUCACACAGAUUCUGAUGUGAAAUUGUACAUUACUUGGAGUAAUUUAAUGAAGAUUCUUCCUUGCCACUAAAAGACCAUAACUACAGCAAAGUUCAUUUACUUUAUUAUCAGUGGUUGCUUUUUUAAAAAAGGUGUCAAUAUUCUGCCUAAGUGCACUUUAUUUUAACUUCAAUAUACUGAUAGAUUAGUAUAUUAGGGAUAUACUAAUGUACUAAUUAGUAUAUAGUAUAUAAUAGGGAUAUACUAAUAGAUUAGUGAACAAAAACAAAUACAAAUCCCCUUUUAGAAUUAUAGUUUAUGAAUUUAUUUUAAAUUGUCUUCAAAUUUAAAACAUAAUAAUUACUGAUUACAACAUUGGAUCAGUCAUGCGAAUAUUCUGUGUCUCUACAUUAACUUUGCAAAGUUUGAUUGAAAUAUCUUAUUAUAAACGGCUGAAUCAUUUACACUAACCUGAUGAGGCGAAUUGUUACGAAUGAGCAAAUAACAGACCACAAAUAAAGGAACAUUAAUGUUGAUAAAGGAAGGGUUAAACUAAGUAGUCAUUGCAUAAGGUAUGUAAACCCAGAGUUAAGUGAAUUGCCCAAGGAGCUUGGCUGAACAUCUCUAACUAAAAGGUCUUCUAUUUCAGUCCUAGCACCAGAGCUUGUUAAUAAGGCCAUCAAGGCCCUGAACGCUGAGGGGUGCAAUAACAUGCAAUCUAUGGAUCAGAAGGGGGAGAAACAGGUCCUUUCUAUCUCCUUUCAGGAGCUUUUAAUGUAAUUGGAUUUAGAUUCAUACUUACAAUCCCUUCACCAUAUGAAAGCUGCCUGGAAGAGCAAUUAAGUGUAUGGGCUCUCCUAUCUGCUUUAGUGGGGAACAAGCUCUGCCAUAGAGUGAUUUUGUAACUUUAAAACUGUACUUCCUUUUCCAUGUCUAAAAAACAUGCAGCCAAGAAAUAAGCCAAUUUGAAGAGUUAAGUAAGAAUCAAGAGAGGGAAACGUAAAUGUAAAUUAUCUGAUGCAUGAUAAGCACUUACUAAGUAACUAAUAUGAGAAAAAUAUGCAAUAUAUAUUCAUAUUUUUAUAUAUAUAUAUAUAAUCUAUCUAGUUAUUCACCCUCCUAUUUAUCCAUCUGCCUUCUACCUCAUUACAAAAGACAUUCAAUGUGGACAAAACCAUUCCACCAAAAGAAAGCACGUAAGUCUUUUUGGAAGUUAUUAGAGUGCUCAGGAGUUUUUAGCAACUACCUGAAUUUGAUGCUAUAUGUCCUGGACUUUGCUCUAAAAAUGACAUAUACAUGACUUCAUGUGAAAGCCAUGCAGAGAUAAAAACACAUACUUGAAAACUGGAAUAAAUUAGAAUUUCUUCUCCCUGUGUAAUGUCUUCUUAGUGGAGCGGAGCACGUUUUUUUGAGCAACAGCACCCAGGUUUCUAAGACAUCAAACUAACUGCUUCAUUAGGCCUGUUCUUCUCAUGGUAAUUUUGGCAGGAUUAAUAUGCCAUGAGCUACUCAGGAAGGAAAGUAAAAUGAGAAAGUACAAAAAUAGCUACUUUAAAGUGUGGCUUAAGAAAGAGGUAAAGCCCAAUAAACUUGGAGGUUAGUGAGAAGUGGGCAGAUAAUUCUGCUUGGUGAAAAUCAUCAUUGACUGCAAUUCCAAAUAGGCAUCAUGAAAUUGUGCCUAGAUACAUGAGUUUAGAUAUUGAAUAAAGACAUAAAAUAUUGAAAGAAGCAGCAAAAUUCCAAAAAAAAUUUGUGGAUGUAAUGUACUGUUAUUUUGGGGGGUUUUACAUGUUUUUCAUGUUAUUAGCAACCCCAGAUGAAGGAUUUGCCUCAGAGCCACACUAUAAAUCAUCAUCAGAGUUCAUUGUGAUAGUUUCUAUUUAUUAAUGCCUGUGAUCCAUACUGAAAUGUCUUUCUGUGCUUACUUACUCAUCCUUCUUUGCAUUCCACUGAUCAUCAAUCACAAAAGCAGCUUGGCCAUUUCUCUCUGUCUUGCCUCAGUGAACUCCUACUUUCCUUGAUUGUUAACCCCUUGCUGGAAUGUACAUGGCCUGUAUGCCUCUCUGGGCUUCUAUUCAACUCUCCCAAUGGGCCUCUCUUCCUGUCACUGAGCUGCAAGGCAAUAUUUUCCAUCUGUUGAAUGAAGAGCAUGACACAGGCAGUUUGAUAUGGUUUCAAAAACCACAGCAAACCAGUGAUGCACAACUCACUUUUAUUCCACAAGCCUGUGGGAGCCCAAAAGGAUGAGAGGCCUUUCUGCUAGGCUGAACACAGAGCUUGGCAUUCAGAAACAAAUAUUCCUCCCUGAAACACUCAAUAUGCUUCAUAUUCAAGCCAGAAACAUUGUGCGUUGGAAUAAUCUAAAGAUGAAUCUAGUCGGAAGUUAUCUUGAAAUGUGUGAGCAAGCUUCUCUUUCAUACACCAGCUGUUUUCUUUCCAUCAAGUGUUUGCUGGGUGGGGGAUCAGCCUGUGUUUUUUUAAUGCAGUAGCAAGAAUGUUUUGUGUGUUCUGAAAGAACCUAUGAUGCCUUUCAAUGUAGAAGGGAGAAGAAAUGGUUCAACAUGAGUUCAGGGAAAUUUUGGAGUCUCUAAUAAUAUCACAUCCUCAAAUUUGGAAGCAUAUUUUCUUUAUAAAGCAUGUUGAAAAAUUAUUUCAUGGUUACUAGUUCCCAAUGUCAGACUGUGACAGAAUUGUUAAAAUAGCAUUGCUAUGGGUAUAAAAGAAAGUUCACAAGCAUUUUGUAAUGUGCCACAGGGUUUAUAAUACAUUUUAACAUAUAUGAUUUCCUAUUUUAUCCACUCAAGGAAAAAAUUGUAUUGUUGGAUAUUUUUAAUAGGUUCGUUAGCCUUAAAAAUCAAAAUAAGGAAAAUAAUCUUGGUAAUGGGAAAAUGUUGUUUAAUGGUAGUCAUUUAAUUAAAACAUGUUAAUUGCUAUAAGCAUAUCAAGAAUCAAAUUAUAAUUUCUGGUGUGGUUUUCAGAACUCUUAUGAAGUCCCAGACUUACUCUUGUCAAAUAGUAUAAUUCAUCCAUGUUAAAAUAUCCAAAUAUUCUAGCAUCUCGUCUGCUGUUCUGUCUGUCUGAAAUGCCCUUUCCUAUCAAUUUUCUAUAUUACAAUUCUAACCACUACUAAAGAUACUUUCUAAAAACUAAUUUUAAAGAUAGUUACGUUUUUAAAAUCUUCCUUAGCUAACUGGUUCUUUCCAAUCCUUGCCUCUAGAAAUAAUCACAUUUUAAUUAUUUGAUGGUUUGAAUAGCACUUACAUAUCACUUUUGACAAUGCAGUUUGAAACUUCAGUGAUAGCUACCUCUUAUUGAACAUGCACUGCUUAUAGACUCUGCUAGAUGUGCUACUAUCCCUACAAUUUUUUUGAGACUACUAUAAUAUUAUCAUCUCCAUUUACAAAUAAGGAAACAGAGUUCAAGAAACAUUAAUAAAUUUGCUCAAGUUUACUUAAUACUCAUUGGUGAAACUGGGAUUUGAAUCCAAAUGUACCUGACUAAAAAGCAUGUUUUUUUCCUUUUUCUUUUCUAGUUUUGUGGAUGUUUUUUAUGGACAUGCACUGAUAGCAGGGCCUGAUCUUAAUCCUUCUAGAUUUCAACUCAUCUACUUCUGCUCUUUAGUUUAAUGAGAUCCCAUUUGUCAAUUUUGGCUUUUGCU